GAUAAACGCUGGCGGCGUGCCUAAAACAUGCAAGUCGGACGGGUGCCCUUCGGGGUGCCAGUGGCGGACGGCUGAGUAACGCGUGGGCGACCUGCCAUCGAGUGGGGGAUACCCGCCCGAAAGGGCGGCUAAUACCGCAUGCGCUCGUUCGUUCGGGCGGAUGAGCAAAGCCGCAAGGCGCUCGGUGAGGGGCCCGCGCCCGAUUAGCUGGUUGGCGGGGUGAAGGCCCACCAAGGCGACGAUCGGUAGCUGGUCUGAGAGGAUGAUCAGCCAGACUGGGACUGCGAGACGGCCCAGACUCCUACGGGAGGCAGCAGUUAGGAAUUUUGGGCAAUGGGCGCAAGCCUGACCCAGCAACGCCGCGUGGGGGACGAAGGCCCUCGGGUCGUAAACCCCUUUCCCCGGGGACGAUGGUGACGGUACCCGGGGAAGAAGGCCCGGCUAACUACGUGCCAGCAGCCGCAGUAAGAC
rnacentral:rRNA from 1 species